CCUACGGGAGGCAGCAGUGAGGAAUAUUGGUCAAUGGUCGGGAGACUGAACCAGCCAAGCCGCGUGAGGGAGGAAGGUACAGAGUAUCGUAAACCUCUUUUGUCAGGGAACAAAGACUGGGACGCGUCACCGGAUGAGUGUACCUGAAGAAAAAGCAUAGGCAAACUCCGUGCCAGCAGCCGCGGUAAUACGGAGGAUGCGAGCGUUAGCCGGUUUUAGUGGGUUUAAUGGGUGCGCAGGCGGUCUAUUAAGUCAGCAGUCAAAGCCCGGGGCUCAACCCCUGGCCGCCGUUGAAACUGGCAGUCUCGAGUUGGAGAGAAGUAUGCGGAAUGCGCGGUGUAGCGGUGAAAUGCAUAGAUAUCGCGCAGAACUCCGAUUGCGAAGGCAGCAUGCCGGCUCCACACUGACGCUGAGGCACGAAAGCGUGGGUAUCGAACAGGAUUAGAUACCCUAGUAGUC
rnacentral:rRNA from 1 species